rnacentral:rRNA from 1 species
GACGUAGGUUCCGAGCGUUAUCCGGAUUUACUGGGCGUAAAGCGCGUUCAGGCGGUCGGGCAAGUCGGGCAUGAAAUCCUUCGGCUCAACCGGGGGAGGUUGUCCGAUACUGCCGGACUAGAGGGCAGUAGAGGGUGGUGGAAUUCCGGGUGUAGUGGUGAAAUGCGUAGAGAUCCGGAGGAACACCAGUGGCGAAAGCGGCCACCUGGACUGUACCUGACGCUCAAACGCGAAAGCUAGGGGAGCGAACGGG